rnacentral:lncRNA from 1 species
CAGGGGUCUCCCAUGAAUUAAUCGCAUCCAGGGUCCAUUGAACUGGAAUUCUAAACUGCAAUCCACGCACAGCAGCCAUUUGGACCUCCGAAGAAACUGAGACUCUGCUUCUCUUUUCACUCCCCCUCCCCCCGCUUCAGAUAUCCUCUGAGGAUUGAUGGGUGUGUCAGAGAGCCACUGGUGUUUGUCCCAAGUAAUUGGAUUGACCCUUUGAAGAAAAGGGAUCAUCUGGAUUCAAGAUGUCAGUAGAAGAAGGGGACCUCAUGAAGACCUGAGGAGGAGACAGAGAUGUUGGAAGGGAACUGGAAUACUGUGGCCAGGGAGGCAUCUGGAGAAGGGAGAUUCAAGAAGUGUCUGGUGCUUCAGAGAAGACCCACAAAGCGAGAUUCACUUCUUAUCAUCUUUUUGGAUGGCAAAUAUCUUUGGCAAUUCCACAAACAUGCCUUCUGA